rnacentral:rRNA from 1 species
UACGAGGGGGGCGAGCGUUGUUCGGAAUUAUUGGGCGUAAAGGGUGCGUAGGCGGUUUUGUAAGUCUUAUGUGAAAUCUAUGGGCUCAACUCAUAGACUGCAUGAGAAACUGCAGGGCUUGAGUAUGGGAGAGGUGAGUGGAAUUCCUGGUGUAGCGGUGGAAUGCGCAGAUAUCAGGAGGAACACCAAUAGCGAAGGCAGCUCGCUGGGACGGUAUUGACGCUAAGGCGCGAAAGCGUGGGGAGCAAACAGG